rnacentral:rRNA from 1 species
GAACAUCGACACCUUGAACGCACAUUGCGGCUCUGGCUCACUGCCAGAGCCACGCCUGUCCGAGGGUCGGCGAACAAGUCAUCGCCACGGACCGAUUCGUUUCGGUCUCGGCGCGUUGGCGUGUCGCGCGGGCACAGUUCCGCUCGUCCGCCGUAGACUUCAGCCUCUCUCUUGGCGGCCAGUCGAAGUGGCGCAGGGACAGGGCUCGAACGGGCCUUCUGUCUAGCGCACGUCCCCCCCCUUUCACCGGGCGGGGCGACCUUCGCCGGCUACGCCACCUGGCUCGUCGACUUGACCGUCGACGGGAGAGAGAGCGCGGCUUCGCUGCCGCGGCAAGGAGAAACCUAUGAACGGCUUCUCUCGCAUCCGACCUCGGAUCAGACGGGGAUACCCGCUGAAUUUAAGCAUAUCAGUAAGCGGAGGAAAAGAAACUAACCAGGAUUCCCUUAGUAACGGCGAGUGAAGGGGGAAAAAAGCCA